rnacentral:rRNA from 1 species
AAUGGGCGCAAGCCUGACCGAGCGACGCCGCGUGUGCGAUGAAGGCCUUCGGGUUGUAAAGCACUGUCGGGGGGGAGGAAACCGCAAGGUUGACCUAUCCCCGGAGGAAGCACGGGCUAAGUUCGUGCCAGCAGCCGCGGUAAGACGAACCGUGCGAACGUUGUUCGGAAUCACUGGGCUUAAAGGGCGCGUAGGCGGGCUGCCAAGUCCGGGGUGAAAUCUUUCGGCUUAACCGGAAAAGUGCCUUGGAUACUGGCGGUCUCGAGGGAGGUAGGGGUAUGUGGAACUUCCGGUGGAGCGGUGAAAUGCGUUGAUAUCGGAAGGAACGCCGGUGGCGAAAGCGACGUACUGGACCUCUUCUGACGCUGAGGCGCGAAAGCCAGGGGAGCGAACGGGAUUAGAUACCCCGGUAGUCCUGGCCCUAAACGAUGGGUACUAGGUAGUAGACUUUCAUGGGUUUACUGCCGAAGCAAAAGUGGUAAGUACCCCGCCUGGGGAGUAUGG